rnacentral:miRNA from 1 species
UUAUAAAUUUAUAAAAAAAAUGGAAGCUGGGCCAAAACGAUGGCGUUUUGGCCCAGCUUCCAAUUUUUUUUUAAAA